CAUAUUUUCUCUUUUUUCUCGGUGUGUGUUUUUCAAAACUUCUAAGAUGGUGUGUAUAUAUAUAUAUAUAUAUAUAUAUACACACCAUCUUAGAAGUUUUGAAAAACACACACCGAGAAAAAAGAGAAAAUAUG
rnacentral:pre_miRNA from 1 species